rnacentral:rRNA from 1 species
UACGUAGGUGGCAAGCGUUGUCCGGAUUUAUUGGGUUUAAAGGGUGCGUAGGCGGUCUUUUAAGUCAGUGCUGAAAUAUCCCGGCUUAACCGGGAGGGUGGCAUUGAUACUGAAGGACUUGAGUAAAGUUGAGGUUGGCGGAAUUGACGGUGUAGCGGUGAAAUGCUUAGAUAUCGUCAAGAACACCGAUAGUGCAGACAGCUAACUAAGCUUUAACUGACGCUGAGGCACGAAAGUGUGGGGAUCAAACAGG